rnacentral:rRNA from 1 species
AGAGUUUGAUCAUGGCUCAGAUUGAACGCUGGCGGCAGGCCUAACACAUGCAAGUCGAGCGGUAGCACAGAGAGCUUGCUCUCGGGUGACGAGCGGCGGACGGGUGAGUAAUGUCUGGGAAACUGCCUGAUGGAGGGGGAUAACUACUGGAAACGGUAGCUAAUACCGCAUAACGUCGCAAGACCAAAGAGGGGGACCUUCGGGCCUCUUGCCAUCGGAUGUGCCCAGAUGGGAUUAGCUAGUAGGUGGGGUAACGGCUCACCUAGGCGACGAUCCCUAGCUGGUCUGAGAGGAUGACCAGCCACACUGGAACUGAGACACGGUCCAGACUCCUACGGGAGGCAGCAGUGGGGAAUAUUGCACAAUGGGCGCAAGCCUGAUGCAGCCAUGCCGCGUGUGUGAAGAAGGCCUUCGGGUUGUAAAGCACUUUCAGCGGGGAGGAAGGCGAUAAGGUUAAUAACCUUGUCGAUUGACGUUACCCGCAGAAGAAGCACCGGCUAACUCCGUGCCAGCAGCCGCGGUAAUACGGAGGGUGCAAGCGUUAAUCGGAAUUACUGGGCGUAAAGCGCACGCAGGCGGUCUGUCAAGUCGGAUGUGAAAUCCCCGGGCUCAACCUGGGAACUGCAUUCGAAACUGGCAGGCUAGAGUCUUGUAGAGGGGGGUAGAAUUCCAGGUGUAGCGGUGAAAUGCGUAGAGAUCUGGAGGAAUACCGGUGGCGAAGGCGGCCCCCUGGACAAAGACUGACGCUCAGGUGCGAAAGCGUGGGGAGCAAACAGGAUUAGAUACCCUGGUAGUCCACGCCGUAAACGAUGUCGACUUGGAGGUUGUGCCCUUGAGGCGUGGCUUCCGGAGCUAACGCGUUAAGUCGACCGCCUGGGGAGUACGGCCGCAAGGUUAAAACUCAAAUGAAUUGACGGGGGCCCGCACAAGCGGUGGAGCAUGUGGUUUAAUUCGAUGCAACGCGAAGAACCUUACCUACUCUUGACAUCCAGAGAACUUUCCAGAGAUGGAUUGGUGCCUUCGGGAACUCUGAGACAGGUGCUGCAUGGCUGUCGUCAGCUCGUGUUGUGAAAUGUUGGGUUAAGUCCCGCAACGAGCGCAACCCUUAUCCUUUGUUGCCAGCGGUUCGGCCGGGAACUCAAAGGAGACUGCCAGUGAUAAACUGGAGGAAGGUGGGGAUGACGUCAAGUCAUCAUGGCCCUUACGACCAGGGCUACACACGUGCUACAAUGGCGCAUACAAAGAGAAGCGACCUCGCGAGAGCAAGCGGACCUCAUAAAGUGCGUCGUAGUCCGGAUUGGAGUCUGCAACUCGACUCCAUGAAGUCGGAAUCGCUAGUAAUCGUAGAUCAGAAUGCUACGGUGAAUACGUUCCCGGGCCUUGUACACACCGCCCGUCACACCAUGGGAGUGGGUUGCAAAAGAAGUAGGUAGCUUAACCUUCGGGAGGGCGCUUACCACUUUGUGAUUCAUGACUGGGGUGAAGUCGUAACAAGGUAACCGUAGGGGAACCUGCGGUUG